rnacentral:rRNA from 1 species
UACAGAGGGUGCAAGCGUUGUUCGGAAUCAUUGGGCGUAAAGGGCGCGUAGGCGGCUCGGAAAGUCGGGCGUGAAAUGCCGGGGCUCAACCCCGGGACUGCGUCCGAUACUUCCGAGCUGGAGGUAGGUAGGGGAGAUCGGAAUUCCUGGUGUAGCGGUGAAAUGCGCAGAUAUCAGGAGGAACACCGGUGGCGAAGGCGGCAUCCUGGACCGACAUUGACGCUGAGGAGCGAAAGCUAGGGGAGCAAACGGG